CGCGCUUCACUCUACUGCCUGCGGACCGGCCCAAGUCGAUCUGAGCUGCGCGUACCCCCGCGGUAGCUCGCCCGCGUGGGCUGGGGACGGGGCGGGAAAUGGCCUGCGUGGGCCUCCUCCGCUGCUCUCAUCCUGCACGGACCCGCCCUGCAUGGGCACGCCCUGCGUGCACGGGCCUGCCCGCGUGGACGUGCCCUGCGUGCACCCUUCCUUCAGGGACCCGCCCUUGAACGGCCCUCCGGACGUGGACACUCGUAUACGCCCACCCUGCGUGGGAUCUCCCUGCGUGGACCCAUCCCGCUGAGCCUCUUCUCGCGCAGCCUCCCUCUGGCCCCCUGGGAAGCUACCCUGGUUGUCCGCUGUCUCCUGGCUGGGGGGAGCUCUCAUUGAUUCUGUGAUGAUGCAUGACAGAAGAGCAUUUGUUAGCUUUGCUUUGCUUUUCUUUCUUUUUUGAGACAGCCUCGCUCUGUUGCCAGGCAGGCUUGAGUGCAGUGGCGCGAUCUCGGCUCACUGCAACCUCCGCGUCCCGGGUUCAAGCGAUUCUCCUGCCUCAGCCCCCCGAGUAGCCGGUAUUGCAGGCGCCUGCCACGACGCCCGGCUAAUUUUUGUAUUUUUAGUACAGACGGGGUUUCACCAUGUUGGCCAGGCUGGCCUCGAACUCCUGACCUCGUAAUCCACCCGCCUCUGCCU
rnacentral:lncRNA from 10 species